UAGUACUGUGGUAGAGCGUUCGAUUGCAGUUCGAAUGGCCGCCGGUUCAAUCCCGGU
rnacentral:tRNA from 1 species